rnacentral:rRNA from 1 species
AACGUAGGAGGCAAGCGUUAUCCGGAUUUACUGGGCGUAAAGCGCGCGCAGGCGGUUCCGUAAGUUGGACGUGAAAUCUUUCGGCUCAACCGGGAGGGGUCGUCCAAUACUGCGGGACUUGAGGUCGGGAGAGGGAAGUGGAAUUCCCGGAGUAGUGGUGGAAUGCGUAGAUAUCGGGAGGAACACCAGUGGCGAAGGCGGCUUCCUGGCCCGCACCUGACGCUAAGGCGCGAAAGCGUGGGUAGCAAACGGGAUUAGAUACCCUUGUA